GUUGUUUUCUUUUUCUCGAGCAGAAAAUUUAGGUUUGUAGGUUUAUGUUCCAUUUGUUUUUAGGAAAAAAAAACAAAAUUAUGAAAGAUUUUGAUGAUAUUCUUACCUAAACUCCAUAGGAAUGUUAAAUCCAUCCACAAGUGAGAUGUCGUAGAAGUCUACGUUAUUGUAGUGGGAGAGUCCCUUGCCCUUGCAUUUA